AUUGAACGCUGGCGGCAGGCCUAACACAUGCAAGUCGAACGAGUGGCGGACGGGUGGGUAAUGUCUGGGAAAAUGCCUGAUGGAGGGGGAUAACUACUGGAAACGGUAGCUAAUACCGCAUACCAUCAGAUGUGCCCAAAUGGGAUUGGAUGGUUGGUGGGGUAACGGCUCACCAAGGCGACGAUCCCUAGCUGGUCUGAGAGGAUGACCGGCAACACGGGAACUGAUACACGGCACAGACUCCUACGGGAUGCACCAGUGGGGAAUAUUGCACAAUGGGCGAAAGCCUGAUGCAGCCAUGCCGCGUGUAUGAAGAAGGCUUUCGGGUUGUAAAGUACUGUCAGCGGGGAGGCGUUACCCGCAGAAGAAGCACCGGCUAACUCCGUGCCAGCAGCCGCGGUAAUUC
rnacentral:rRNA from 1 species